GAUGAAGAACGCAGCGAAAUGCGAUAAGUAGUGUGAAUUGCAGAAUUCCGUGAAUCAUCGAAUCUUUGAACGCACAUUGCGCCUUCUGGUAUUCCGGAAGGCAUGCCUGUUCGAGAGUCAUUAACAACCGUUUCGAUCCCUUUCUUUCAGAAAUUACAAAGAGGAAAAGGGUGUGGUUAUGGUGGAGGAGGGAAAGGGAGCGUUUAGCCUGUAAAAAAAGAGGCUGUGUUCCGCCUCCCCCCCAAAAUUGUACAGGCGGUCGUGUGCGCCCACGCAUCGAGGUGUUGUAAAAGCUGCCACGGCACUUUUCACCUGUGCAGUGCGAGAUUGGCCAGCCGGUUUAAAAACCCCUCCAAACAAUCAAAGGUUGACCUCGGAUCAGGUAGGGAUACCCGCUGAACUUAAGCAUAUCAAUAAGCGGAGGA
rnacentral:misc_RNA from 1 species